rnacentral:rRNA from 1 species
UACGUAGGGUGCGAGCGUUGUCCGGAAUUAUUGGGCGUAAAGGGCUCGUAGGCGGUCUGUCACGUCGAAAGUGAAAACUCAGGGCUUAACCCUGAGCCUGCUUCCGAUACGGGCAGACUAGAGGUAUGCAGGGGAGAACGGAAUUCCUGGUGUAGCGGUGAAAUGCGCAGAUAUCGAGAGGAACACCAGUGGCGAAGGCAGCACUCUGGGACGGUACUGACGCUGAGACGCGAAAGCGUGGGGAGCGAACAGGAUAGAAACCCGU